UUUAAAUCUACCUGGUUUCCAGGUCGAGUUGUAAUUUGAAGAAGUGUUUUUUACUUUCCGGGUUGGGUUAAAUCCUUUGGGAUAAGGUAUCAUGGAGGGUGAGAAUCCCGUGUAUACCAACCGCAGGAUYGUUUAAUAUACACUUUCUAAGAGUCGAGUUGUUUGGGAAUGCAGCUCUAAAUGGGUGGUAAAUUUCACCUAAUGCUAAAUAUAAGCGAGAGACCGAUAGCGAACAAGUACCGUGAGGGAAAGAUGAAAAGAACUUUGAAAAGAGAGUUAAAUAGUACGUGAAAUUGUUGAAAGGGAAACGGUURAAGUCAGUCAUGCCGGCGGGAAUCAACUUAGGGGAAACUCUGAGUGCACUUCUUCGCUUGGCAGGUUAGCGUCGAUUUUGGAUGUCAUAAAAUGACUGGGGGAAGGUAGCUCUUUCGGGAGUGUUAAGCCCUUWGUAGAUGUGAUGUCYGGGAUCGAGGAUUGCAACGGAUACCYUUUGGGCUARCCGCCUAGUCUCUAAUACGAAGUUGGGUUAUGGACAGCACCGCUGACUGUGAUCUGAUUUUCGGUUAAAAGAUUAG
rnacentral:rRNA from 1 species